rnacentral:rRNA from 1 species
GAGUAACGCGUGGAUAACCUGCCGUAUACAGGGGGAUAACACUUAGAAAUAGGUGCUAAUACCGCAUAAGCGCACGGUUCCGCAUGGAACAGUGUGAAAAACUCCGGUGGUAUACGAUGGAUCCGCGUCUGAUUAGCCAGUUGGUGGGGUAACGGCCCACCAAAGCGACGAUCAGUAGCCGGCCUGAGAGGGUGAACGGCCACAUUGGGACUGAGACACGGCCCAAACUCCUACGGGAGGCAGCAGUGGGGAAUAUUGCACAAUGGGGGAAACCCUGAUGCAGCGACGCCGCGUGAGUGAAGAAGUAUUUCGGUACGUAAAGCUCUAUCAGCAGGGAAGAAAAAAAGUCCUUUGGACUUUGGACGGUACCUGACCAAGAAGCCCCGGCUAACUACGUGCCAGCAGCCGCGGUAAUACGUAGGGGGCAAGCGUUAUCCGGAUUUACUGGGUGUAAAGGGAGCGUAGACGGCAGCGCAAGUCUGGAGUGAAAUGCCGGGGCCCAACCCCGGAACUGCUUUGGAAACUGUGCAGCUCGAGUGCAGGAGAGGUAAGCGGAAUUCCUAGUGUAGCGGUGAAAUGCGUAGAUAUUAGGAGGAACACCAGUGGCGAAGGCGGCUUACUGGACUGUAACUGACGUUGAGGCUCGAAAGCGUGGGGAGCAAACAGGAUUAGAUACCCUGGUAGUCCACGC